GCCGCGAAUUCGCCCUUAGGGUUUGAUCAUGGCUCAGGACGAACGCUGGCGGCGUGCCUAAUACAUGCAAGUCGAGCGAUGAUUAAAGAUAGCUUGCUAUUUUUAUGAAGAGCGGCGAACGGGUGAGUAACGCGUGGGAAAUCUGCCGAGUAGCGGGGGACAGCGUUUGGAAACGAACGCUAAUACCGCAUAACAAUGAGAAUCGCAUGAUUCUUAUUUAAAAGAAGCAAUUGCUUCACUACUUGAUGAUCCCGCGUUGUAUUAGCUAGUUGGUAGUGUAAAGGACUACCAAGGCGAUGAUACAUAGCCGACCUGAGAGGGUGAUCGGCCACACUGGGACUGAGACACGGCCCAGACUCCUACGGGAGGCAGCAGUAGGGAAUCUUCGGCAAUGGGGGCGACCCUGACCGAGCAACGCCGCGUGAGUGAAGAAGGUUUUCGGAUCGUAAAACUCUGUUGUUAGAGAAGAACGUUAAGUAGAGUGGAAAAUUACUUAAGUGACGGUAUCUAACCAGAAAGGGACGGCUAACUACGUGCCAGCAGCCGCGGUAAUACGUAGGUCCCAAGCGUUGUCCGGAUUUAUUGGGCGUAAAGCGAGCGCAGGUGGUUUCUUAAGUCUGAUGUAAAAGGCAGUGGCUCAACCAUUGUGUGCAUUGGAAACUGGGAGACUUGAGUGCAGGAGAGGAGAGUGGAAUUCCAUGUGUAGCGGUGAAAUGCGUAGAUAUAUGGAGGA
rnacentral:rRNA from 1 species